AGCCGCGGGCGCGCUUGGGAGGGACUAGAGCCCGGUGCCCGAAGCUGCCAGAUCCACCGGGGGAGCGGAGCCGCAGUCAGAGCAGCCUGCGCAGCUGCAGCCAGUCCGAGCUCGCGGUUCUGCGUCUGCCGGCCCAUCAGCGUCUAUUCCCCGCACAGUAAGAGGCGAAGGGGGGCUGGAGGAGGGGACUGCGACCUCCGUUCCCUCGCUCGGAACAUUAUCGACCCUGCCUGGCCUGGUCACGGCCUGAGCACCAAACAUGCAGGAGGUCGGGAUCAGUGUCCUCAUCCUGACAGUCUGGGGACCGAAGAUGGAAAAAGGCAAGCGGAUUCUGUGUAAAACCAUCGCGUGAGCUCCGGGCGAGGAGGAGGGAGAAGACCUCCCCUGGUGCGGGAGGUGCCCAGGGCUUACGAGGCCUGGGUGGGCACCAGCCAGUCCGGCAUCUCAGCAGCCACGACCUCGGUUCUUCUCUGACGGAACCAGAAUUAUCGGCUGGCUCAGGGUCUAGCAUCUGAAGCAGUGCCCUCUCCUAUCUGAGGAAUCAGGACCUGGCUCAGCGAGUCCCUGGAAAAGCCUGCCUUCCUGCCCCAGCCCUACUGGUGCGGAUGUGCCGCUGCCCACUGGAGCACCAUGAAGUCAGGAUGACCUCAGCCGAAGCAAUUGCUGUGGCUGGAAGUGCCCAGGAGCAUGGCCGUCCCAAGUGGCCUCCUGACAAACCUCAAGUCCUUGGGCAGCCUGCUCUGGCGAGAGUGGUUGUGGCAGCACUGGUGUGGCUGUUGGCAGGAGCCAGCAUGUCAAGUCUCAACAAGUGGAUCUUCACAGUGCAUGGCUUCGGACGGCCCCUGUUAUUGUCAGCCCUGCACAUGCUGGCAGCCGCUGUGGCAUGCCACUGGGGGGCCCAGCGACCCGUGCCCCAUAGCAUCCACCGCAGGGUGCUGUUACUCAGCCUCACCUUCGGGACCUCCAUGGCGUGUGGCAACGUGGGCCUGAGCACUGUCCCCUUGGACCUAGCACAGCUAGCCACCACCACCACACCACUGUUCACUUUGGCCUUGUCUGCGUUGCUGCUUGGCCGAAGACACCAUCCCCUGCAGUUUGCUGCCAUGGGUCCGCUCUGCCUAGGGGCUGCAUGCAGUCUGGCUGGAGAGCUCCGGGCACCUCCUGCUGGUUGUGGCUUCUUGCUGGUGGCCACCUGUCUCCGAGGUUUCAAGUCUGUUCAACAGAGUGAGUGCUUGGGUGGCCAUCUGAGGAGGUGGGGCGUGUAGCCGCGUUGUUGCUGUGAAGUGGGUGGCAGUGAUCCUCUUUUACUUACAGACAAGGCUCGGAGAGAGGAUCCAGCGAGUUCAGGCCUCAAACUUAAG
rnacentral:lncRNA from 1 species